rnacentral:misc_RNA from 1 species
GAUGAAGAACGCAGCGAAAUGCGAUACGUAAUGUGAAUUGCAGAAUUCAGUGAAUCAUCGAGUCUUUGAACGCACAUUGCGCCCCCUGGUAUUCCGGCGGGCAUGCCUGUUCGAGCGUCAUUUCAACCAUCAAGCCCCCGGCUUGUGUUGGGGACCUGCGGCUGCCGCAGGCCCUGAAAACCAGUGGCGGGCUCGCUGUCACACCGAGCGUAGUAGAUUUUCAUCUCGCUCAGGGCGUGCUGCGGGUUCCGGCCGUAAAAAGCCUUAUUUACCCAAGGUUGACCUCGGAUCAGGUAGGAAGACCCGCUGAACUUAAGCAUAUCAAUAAGCGGAGGA